UCCCUGUCUCAGACAUCCUACGGGAGGCAGCAGUGGGGAAUCUUGCGCAAUGGACGAAAGUCUGACGCAGCGACGCCGCGUGGGUGAUGAAGGCCUUCGGGUUGUAAAGCCCUGUGGGGAGAGACGAAUAAGUGUAGCCUAAUACGUUACAUGAUGACGGUAUCUCCUUAGCAAGCACCGGCUAACUCUGUGCCAGCAGCCGCGGUA
rnacentral:rRNA from 1 species